rnacentral:rRNA from 1 species
GGUAGUCUCGCACAGAUGCAUAUCAAUAAGCGGAGGAAAAGAAACUAACAAGGAUUCCCCUAGUAACGGCGAGUGAAGCGGGAAGAGCUCAAAUUUGAAAUCUUAAAGGGUUUCCCUUUACGAAUUGUAGUUUAAAGAAGUGUUUUCUGUUGAGGUUUUGGUAAAAGUUCUUUGGAAUAGGACAUCAUAGAGGGUGAGAAUCCCGUAUUUGACCUUUACUUUCAACUUUGUGAUACACUUUCAAAGAGUCGGAUUGUUUGGGAAUGCAGUCCAAAAUGGGUGGUAAAUUUCAUCUAAAGCUAAAUAUUGGCGAGAGACCGAUAGCGAACAAGUACCGUGAGGGAAAGAUGAAAAGAACUUUGAAAAGAGAGUUAAACAGUACGCGAAAUUGUCAAAAGGGAAGCGUUUGACACCAGUGUUGUUUUUCUGAAAAUCAAUUAAAGAACUGUUUAUGCUAAGUUGUUUAGACUUUAUCAGCUAACUGUUUAGUUUUGAGCUUUUCUUUAAUGCACUUUUCAGUUAACAAGUCAACAUCAAUUUCUUUUGCUGUAAAAAAGCUUGAGGAAGGUGGCUUGAGAUUCGUCUUAAGUGUUUAUAGCCUCUUGCCUAUGCAGUCGGAGAGAUUGAGGUCUGCAGCGUAGAUCCUUCGGGGCUAAAUGCAUUUGUGCUAAGUUAUAGCAUUUUAUAGACAACUUGUUGACUAUGAUUUGUCUUGUAGCUUACUCGCUUAUGUUAUUUUACCUACGCUUAGGAUGUUGAUGUGAUACUGCGAGCA